GCAAGUCGAGCGCUUCACUUCGGUGAGGAGCGGCGGACGGGUUAGUAACGCGUGGGAAUAUACCCUUUUCUAUGGAAUAGCCUUUGGAAACGAAGAGUAAUACCAUAUACGCCCUUCGGGGGAAAGAUUUAUCGGUGAAGGAUUGGCCCGCGUUUGAUUAGAUAGUUGGUGGGGUAAUGGCCUACCAAGUCUACGAUCAAUAGCUGGUUUGAGAGGAUGAUC
rnacentral:rRNA from 1 species